rnacentral:rRNA from 1 species
AUGAACGCUAGCGGCAGGCCUAACACAUGUCAAGUCGAGGGGCAGCGGGAAAGUAGCUUGCUACAUAUGCCGGCGACCGGCGGACGGGUGCGUAACGCUUAUGUAACCUACCUUUGACAGGGGGAUAACAUCGAGAAAUUGGUACUAAUACCCCAUAACAUCACCGGAGGCAUCUUCAGUGGAUGAAAACUCAGGUGGUCAGAGAUGGACAUGCGUUGUAUUAGCUAGUUGGCGGGGCAACGGCUCACCAAGGCGACGAUGCGUAGGGGCUCUGAGAGGAAGGUCCCCCACACUGGUACUGAGACACGGACCAGACUCCUACGGGAGGCAGCAGUGAGGAAUAUUGGUCAAUGGCCGAGAGGCUGAACCAGCCAAGUCGCGUGAGGGAUGACGGCCCUACGGGUUGUAAACCUCUUUUGCCGGGGAGCAAAGAGCGGGACGCGUCCCGCCUCGAGAGUACCCGGAGAAAAAGCAUCGGCUAACUCCGUGCCAGCAGCCGCGGUAAUACGGAGGAUGCGAGCGUUAUCCGGAUUUAUUGGGUUUAAAGGGUGCGCAGGCGGAAGCGCAAGUCAGCGGUAAAAUUGAGAGGCUCAACCUCUUCCCGCCGUUGAAACUGCGUUUCUUGAGUGGGCGAGAAGUACGCGGAAUGCGUGGUGUAGCGGUGAAAUGCAUAGAUAUCACGCAGAACUCCGAUUGCGAAGGCAGCGUACCGGCGCCCAACUGACGCUCAUGCACGAAAGCGUGGGUAUCGAACAGGAUUAGAUACCCUGGUAGUCCACGCAGUAAACGAUGAAUACUCGCUGUCCGGGGAGAUUGGUCUCUGGGCGGCCAAGCGAAAGCGUUAAGUAUUCCACCUGGGGAGUACGCCGGCAACGGUGAAACUCAAAGGAAUUGACGGGGGUCCGCACAAGCGGAGGAACAUGUGGUUUAAUUCGAUGAUACGCGAGGAACCUUACCCGGGCUCAAACGACGGAUGAAUACUUUUGAAAGGAGGUAGUCCUUCGGGACAUCCGUCGAGGUGCUGCAUGGUUGUCGUCAGCUCGUGCCGUGAGGUGUCGGCUUAAGUGCCAUAACGAGCGCAACCCCCAUCGCCAGUUGCCAACAGGUAAAGCUGGGAACUCUGGCGAGACUGCCGGCGCAAGCUGUGAGGAAGGCGGGGAUGACGUCAAAUCAGCACGGCCCUUACGUCCGGGGCGACACACGUGUUACAAUGGCAGGUACAGAGAGAUGCGACACGGCGACGUGGAGCGGAACUGUCAAAACCUGUCUCGGUUCGGAUCGGAGUCUGCAACCCGACUCCGUGAAGCUGGAUUCGCUAGUAAUCGCGCAUCAGCCAUGGCGCGGUGAAUACGUUCCCGGGCCUUGUACACACCGCCCGUCAAGCCAUGGAAGCCGGGGGUGCCUGAAGUGUGCAACCGCAAGGAGCGCCCUAGGGUAAAACCGGUGACUGGGGCUAAG